rnacentral:lncRNA from 1 species
GGCUGAGGGAACCGGGAAAAUUGGGGAAUGAAUGGUUGGACUGAGGGGUAGAAGUCCCGCGAGGGAAGAGGCACAGGCUGAGGGGGGUGGCAGGUCUAAGGGGACUCGAUGGAUCUGAAGGGAGUGAGGGGGGGUGAGAAAACUUUGAAGAACUGGCAGGACUGGGGGUUUGCUGAGGGGAUGGAGGGAGCCAGCAGGGAGCACAGUGGGGUCCGGGCCUGCGGCUCUGCCAGCCCUUGGAACCAAUUCCAGAGCCUCCGCUUUUGCCACAGCUGCCCUGAAGUCCUUGAGAAGAGCCGGAGAGUGACGGGAGCCAGCAGGGAGAAGCUGAAGGCCGCCAGCAAGAGCAGCGAAUAUGGACCUGCUGCUGCCGCCCGAGACCCUGGGUGUCCCAUCUGCUGUCCCCGUCCAGGAGAGCUGCGCUGCGCGGGAGGAAGAGGGAGAGAGAGCCUGGGAACAUCGGCGCCUGCAAUCCCUCCCGAUCUAGUUCUAGUUCUAGAUGUUUACAGUUGGACUGGGAGAGCUAGAAGUAUAUGGAUAUUUACAUAUGUAAACUGAUAUUUGUAUAGGUGUAUAUGUAUGUAUGUUGUUAUAUUACAUCUGUAGUCAUAUUUUCAUACUUGUUCAGUUGUGCAGCUGUAUAGUUCUGUUGCUGGGCCUGUAUGGAUUUUUUAUUGGUCCAUUGAUAGUUCUAUGUUUAUCGAUAGGUUUGUUAUGUAUGGAAUGUAUUUUUCAUGUUAGAUGUCAUGAUAUAUGUAAUACAUAAUUAAAUCUGUAUAUUGUUAUGGUUAUAUCUGUAUUUACUCAUAUUUAUAUAUAUAUAUGGAGUUGUAUAGUUCUAUAAUUUUAUUUAUUCUGGAUCUGGGAUUCUUUAGGGAGGGAUAUCAAUAGUUCUGUAUUCGUAUAUGGGCUGUACAGUUAUAGCAAUAUGUAAUAAAUUACAUUGUUAAACCUCAUAUUUGUGUAUAGUGAGUGGUUGUAGAGGGUUGCAAGAAAUUAACGUUUUUCAUUGAAGUUGAUCUCUGUAUAUAUUUACAUAGCAUGACUGUAACAAUAAAUUAGUUUUCUAAACUUCAACUGAUACUUGUAUGUUGAUAUAUUGGCAGCACAGCUGUAUCAAUUUAAAAUAAAUGUCAUUUUUAAACUGAAGUUGCUUUUUGUGUAUUUGUACAUUAGCAGUGCAAGUGUAACAAUCUGCAAUAAAUUCAGUGUUUCAACUGAAAGAAGGGUAGAUUGUGCUCUCCAAAGGACUGGGCAGAUGUAAAUGGGAUGAUGCUGGAGGAUUUUGGCCAUAAAGUCUCCAGCUGUGCCCAGCAGAUCCCCCCCAGCUGCAGCCAGGCUGGGCAAGGGAACGGCACAUUUGGGAUGGCAGCAGAGCCACACGUUGGCUACAGGCUCGCUGCAGAGGCCUGCUGAGAAAACGGGACUCCCCUGAGCGUAGAACUGCAGCCAGGAGCCACCCGGGGAGGAGAAAUCCACCCCCGUCCCACCGGGAGCUCUUUAGGGAGCGCUCCCGGUGCCCCUCUGAAGCUCAUCCUGGAGAGCAGCAGCAACCAGGGAUCCCGAGCCAGCUGCGCUGCCUUUGGCAGCACUUUGGCAAAGGGUCUGGAGCAAGGGCGAGGGCACAGUGACUGUAACUGCUGCAGGGCAGGGAUGAGGGAAGGGCCAUUGACCCAAGUGCUGACAUGCUCCAAAAUCCAGAAGGAUGCAGGAGAACUGGGAAGCAACAAGUUCUCACAAGUGCUGAAGUGAUGGAAGCCCUUUGAGUGAAGUUCCCUGAAGGAACUCCCAGGGGAGUUGAUGCCAUAAUAAGUAGGACCAGAAGGCAAAAAUAUUGUACUGCUAGGAGAUGGUCUAUAAGCCCCACAGGCAAUGGCUUAAGAAAAGAUCAAGUAUAUCUUUGAUAUACUCUAUUUAUUAUACUAGAUCUAUUUAAAUAUAUCCUAUAUUAUUGUUCUAUACAGGAUAAAUUACAUAGAUGAGAAGAAUUGUCACUUCAUGUAGGUUUGAAAUACUCUUCCAACUUGGGAGAGUGAAGAUGUACUGCUGUCCAAAGCCUUCUGCCCACACAGCAAUCAGCCCACGGCUGUGUCCGUGCACACCCACCCACCGUCCUUGCUCUUCUCGGCAUCUCUGGGCUGCUGUUUGCACACAAUUAGGGGGAAUUCAACUCGACAGACCUACGAGUGGGGUGUCCAGCUUGUCACGAACGCUGACGUGGCAAGGCACAACACAGAGCUCUCAAAUCACUUACAUUAUCACACGUGCUUUCUUUCCUGCUGGUAUCCUCAAGUAGCAAAACCUGGUGGGUUUUUUAAGAUUGCAACUUUCCAAAAACUAAGAAAGCUGCUCAGCAUCAGUACCCCCCUUGUAAAUGGUUUUAUUGACUUGGAGAAACUGGAACGUUACCUUUGGACUCCAUCCUUGGUUAAAAUCACCUGCCCUGACCUGCAGACUAAAGCACCAGCAGCAGCAGAAGCUACAUCAGUCACUUCUCUCAAAAAGCUGUCUAGGAUUUGUGAGAAGAAAGGAAAACACGUCAGACACUCUGGAUGAAUGACAGGACUGGGAGAAAUAGUUCCAAAGCAAAGGGCCGCAGCUUCUCUGGGACGCUCCUCGCGCUCCAAGGCAGCCGGGCUGCCCUGGCUGCCCAGGACGCUGCGCAGCACGGGCCCCGCAGAGCUGCGCAGCAGGGAGGCAGCUUCGGGCACCUCAGCCCCCGGGCAGGAGCGGCCUCCUUGCUCUGCACGGCUGCCUGUGGGCAAAGGCAGCGUGCCGGCCUUCUGCUCUUGGCCCCGGCCCGGCCUGGCAGGGCUAAUCCCGUUCCCUGUCUGCAACGUGCUAAAGAGGGACUUGGUCCUUUCCAGCCCUCCAGGGCAUUCGUUUGCACCACAAAACACUGAAGGACUGAGGCCUCAACAACAGGCCCUGAGCCAAAGUUGCCUCUAGAUGGCCCUUCUGACCAAAUGUUCUAUGGGUCUGCUCCUUAGCAGGCAUUACCAUCAAUGGGAUCUGUGCAUCCCUUCAUUGGUGGAAUGUGUCUUUACCUUUCGGCAUCAAGAAACCGGACAAGGCCACAUCUGGCCUCGGUUCCUCCUUGAGCCCUGGCUGGGCUUGGGGAGAAAACCAAGAGGAGAAUGAAAUCAGGUGUCCCUGCACUAGAAGUUCUGUCAGAUGCUCCUGCAGCACUGUCCAAGCCGGGCUACUCUCACAGCGCCCUCGGAAGCCUCGUGGCCGGCAAAGGUGGAGGCACCGCAGGAUGUGCCCGUUGCCGGUCGUGGCUCUGCAGGGCUUUGCUGGGACAGCUUCCCCCAGCCGAUGUGUGGAUCUGGAUGAAGGGAAAAGGAUUAGGGUUAUCCUUUUCUGAUUUUUUUUCAGUUUUGGAUGAUAGGAGAUUACACUGUUGCUUCAGUUAUUGCCUGUGGUUUUGUCUCUGACCCUGCCCACCGGCAAAACAAUUGCCCAUCCAGUUUAGCACAAGACUUGAGAGUGCUAAAUUUGAAGGAGGAGAAAAGCGCUGAUCUGCACAAAAAGAGACAAUCCUUCUCACACCUCCCUCCUUGGGUUUCCUGGAGCUGCUGCUGUUACCAGGGCUGCUGCUCCUGCCUGAAACCUCCCCCCCUGCCUCUCUGCAAGCCCAUCUCUUAGAGAACACUCCUGAUCGCCACCACCUCAAACAAAAUUUGUUGCAGUGGGGAUACUGCAACACGCAUAUAUCAAACCAGGAGUCCCGUGGAAAGGAAAUAUAUAUGGACAGACAGAUUCUUGAUAGCUGUUUCAGAGAUGUUUAUUUCUCCAGCCGCAUGGCCGGAGCUCUGCCCAGGAACUGUUCCAGUCACGGGACCAAGGGUCCUUCUGCCCGCGCAGGGAACACAAACCAACCAAUGGGAACGAGGCUGAGCAGGGACAGGGAAGCCCCGUGUCUGUGCCCUCAGCGCCCCUCUCCCAGGGCUCCAUGGCAGGGGAGGGACCCCAACAAAAAUUUCCACUUUUCAACUUCCUUUUCUGCCCGCAGGUGAGAAAAGGAUCCACUCCCAGCUCCGGGCUCCUCCGCAAACCAACUGCUUUCAGCAGCGCCAGUCCUGAAAUACCAACCUCCUUCCUUAACCUGCCCCCUGGGAGCUCACGCACCAAGAGGCCUUUGUCCAAGGACACCCGCAGCAGAGCUCGAGGAUGGAGCGGUCUGAAACGCAGCUCCUUCAGAGUUUAAACCUCCCUUUAUCAACUGAACGCACCCCAGCCUGUCCCAAAGGGAAAGCAGGCAGGAAAGAGGAGCUCCUCUCCCACAACAGCAAACCCUGUGCUUCCUUAAGUUCCACUUGGAGGACGGAGGCCAUGGGCUACUCCUCAGUUUGGGAAGGAACCCAACCCAGGGAAAUGGCCUGAUUUGGGAGCCCAGCAGAGGCAAGUGCCCCAAAAAGAAGGAAAAGAUUCUCUGGAAGCAAAAGAUUAUGGCAAUAGUUCUGCAGAAAGAAAAAAACAGAAGAAGAAUUGAAGCAACAUUUCAAAAAGUUCCCAGACAAAAAGUUCUGCCCCAACACGCAGUCUCUGUGGUGUGUCAGGAAGCUCAUGAAUGAACCUGCAAGCCUUGGAUACACAUCAUUUGUGUCCGUCCCCCAGAGCACAAGCAGCUCCCCAACAAGACUUCAAGACUAAAGGACAAAGCUUCCCCCUUCACCUCUCCACACCAGCUCUAGGGAGGCUCUGUCCAUUGCAAGAUCUCCUUUGUGUCUGCAUUGACAAGAGCUGGCUGCAGAAGGGGUUUGCAUUGGAACUCUCCCCAGACAGGGGAAAAAAAAGGAACAGAAAAAGUGAUUCCUGAGGAAAGAAAAUGCAAUGCCCUUUGGGAAGACACCGGCAUGAGUUCGCUACAGCUGCAGGCCAUUAAUCCCUUGGGGAAAGCACCAUCCAUCCAUGGCACAGCACUUCAGCUUUGAUGACAAUGCUGACAAAAUUGCUGCCCCUUCCUGCUGCUGCUGCUGACCCCAAAUCACAAGAAAUGUGCCAAAUCUGCCAACAACAGGCAGAGAUGGCGAGAACAAAACAGCUGGUCUGCUGAAAAGGAGGCAAAAAGAAUGUAUUCUAACCUCCCCUUUUCAUCCUUUCCCCAGCCAACACAGAGACAUGUCCUUUCCCUCUGGCACCGAUGCUGGCCCAGGCACGGCAUGCCCGCCGCUGCUCCCAGAGCCCUCGCCAGGGGCUUCCCGUGCCAUGCCGUGUUGGUCCGUGCCGUGUUGGUCUGUGCCAUGCCGUGUCGGUCCGUGCCGUGCCGUGUCGGUCCGUGCCGGUCCGUGCCGUGCCGUGCCGGUCCGUGCCGUGUCGGUCCGUGCCAUGCCGUGCCGUGCCGUGUUGGUCCGGUCCGUGCCGUGCCAUGUUGGUCCGUGCCGUGCCGGUCCGUGCCGUGCCGUGCCGUGUCGGUCCGUGCCGUGCCGUGUCGGUCCGUGCCGUGUCGGUCCGUGCCGUGCCGUGCCGUGCCGUGCCGUGCCGUGCCGUGCCG